rnacentral:lncRNA from 1 species
UUUUAACAAAUUUAAUUUUUACUUCAUUAUAGUAAAAUCAGUAUAAAUAGUAUAACAAAAUUCCUACGACAUUGAUUAUAUACAUUCUUACAGGAAAUCACAUGACCGACAGUACACUGCAUAUAUAAAUAUAUAUAUAUCUCAUCUGCAUUAUACAAAGCAAGAAGUCCCAAAUGAAUGUAUAAACAUGAUUAAUUUGGUAGCUUCAAAUAUUUCUGUGUAAAAAAUCACUAGUAAUUACCGCUAAUCAAUCAUGUCCAUUCUCAAUUUAAUAUUUCCAUUAAUUGCUUCUAUUACAAUGAUAUAGUAAGCACCAACUGUAUGCACUACAUAAAUGUCUGAAGUGAACUAGCCUAUGUUGAAUUAAGCAUAUUACAAAGCUAACAACCACUACUAUAAUAUAAUCAAUAUGUGAUAAUUAUCCAUAUACUGUAAAUUAUGAAAUUAUUGAGUGCAUGGAUUGUUGAGAUUUUUUAACAGUGGACAAAAAUGCAAGAUUAAGAUGGAUAUAAAUCAUAACAAUGCCAAUCAAAUAGUAACAUUGUCUAAAGAGGUAUGACUGGAUGACAAGAUGAGAAAUACUUACCAUCAAUCUAACCUGAAUUCAUAUAAUGCAUAUGACUAAUUGAGCAAAUCAGAUGGCUGCCAUGUUUACUCAAGAAAUCCUGAAUCUAACUAAAGACCAAAAAUUUACUAAGUCUACUGCAAACACCAUUCCAAAAAUGCAUAAAUCCUGAGUAAUCACUGAAUGGCUGAAGAAAAGAAAAGACAGAAAACUGGUCUGGUUUAUGAAACAUAGACUUAAAUCAAUGGGAAUACUUUUUCUUAAUUGUCUCCAAAUUCAAACUUUUUGGAGUGAAUUCUGUUACUAGUUAUUAUACAUACUAAUCUUUUUCAUAUCUAUAUUAAAUAUAAUGAUAAUUAAUCAACUGUUUAUGCAGUUAUCUUAUUUCUUUGAGCAGUUCCUUAACACCAUACAUUGGAUCCAAGAAAGGCACUUUGAAAAGUCAACUACCAUUGGUGUCAAAUACUUUUUUGUACAGUGAAAUGUACCAGUAAGUGAAAUUCUAAAAUUUCCUCUACAAGUGGUUACAAUAUUUUCAAAGUGCUUUCCUCUAUACAUCAAAUAUUUUUUGGUGGACAAGUCCUUUUACAAUAUAAUAAUUAUCAUAACUUAACUAAAACAAAAAGUUCAAAUUUAAAAAUCAAUCUUAACAGCACCAAACUCAUCAUAAAAAUAUUUUAAAUGUAUAUCAUAAUUUGACAGGAAGGGUACGGCAUGUCUAACUUUUUUGAGUUUUCAGUGUGGAAACUAUAAAGUAAAAUAGAUAUUGGAGACAAUCAAAUCUGCACUUGACAGCAGCAACUCUUAAACUUUUUAAAAUAAUGUUAUUACUUAUACAUUACAAACAGGAAAUAAUGCAUUAGACUUUCAAAAAUGUAUUAAAUUCAAAUAAUAUAAACUGUCAUGAAUGUUUUGGUGAAUUAAUGUCAUGGCAUAUCAUA